CUAUGACUUAAUCUUUUGGUAAUUCAAAUUUGUAAGAGCUUAGGAUUAAAUGCCCAGCCUUGGUAGUUACUGUCUAUUCUCACUGGAAAGCUUUAGAGAGGAGAAUUUUUUUUUUUUUUUUUUUGCAGAAAAAUCUGAAUGCUUCACUCGUCAUAUCAUCUUAUGGAUAUGGAGAAUGUUGUGAGUGCUCUAUGGUACUUGAGGCCAACCCGUCGAUGGUUUCUAUUAAGAUCCCAAGUUGUAAAUACUAGUACACUUGUAAUCCUCACCUGAGAAAGCUUUUGUGCAUCCAAUCCACCUUGAGUUUCCAUAGUUGAACAACAAAAUUUGUUUUUUGAUUCAGAUAUUGGAUUGGAGCCCGCCAACAAGAUAUAGAUUCCCUCACUUUAGAUGAACUACUAGCCCAAAGAAAUCCUCUAUCAAGUGACCGAGAUCCCUCUCCGUUAUUUUGUACAAUUAUGACUUUUGCCUCACUUCACAAAUUUUGAUUAACAUUUUGUCGGUUAAUGUGUGUGCUCUAUCUUUCCUCUUCCUCUGUUAAUUUUAUUGGGAACAUGUUAUUCACUCACUCUCUCUCUCUCUCUCUCUCUCUCUCUCUCUCUCUCUCUCUCUCUCUCUCUCUCUCUCUCUCUCUCUCUGUGUUCUUUUUUGUUUAUAAUGAACUCACUUUCUUUGCACAUUUCUGUGUGUGUCAUCAAUACUGGCUCUUCUUAAUCAUUCUAAUCUACUCCAGGUAAAUGUAUAAAUGAUUCUGCUAGCGUCCUGAUGGCAAGGUUGUUGUCUUAGGACUUGAAGCCAGUACAGUUUUACUGCAUGGUGUCGAAGUUGUGUUAUGCAUUCAUCUUUGGUGUGAUGCUUAAGAAACCGUAGGUGUGUUGCUUAGGCAAUUUUGUGUGUCACCUAAAUAUUUAUUCUUUAUUGUGGGACUCGGCCCUACAUCAAAGCCAUGAAUAUUUUUGAUGUUACAUUGUUUGAUGCAUGAGUUAGAAAAUGAAUCAAGGAAAUUGAUUGACUCAUAUCUAAUUAGUGAAAUCAGCAGUGAAUUACUUUAAUCACAUAUCAAAUAGAAUUAAUAUGCUCAUUUAAUAGAUUUGUAUACUUUAGGAGUUGAAUCUUAUUGAUGUGCUCAAUUGCAUUCUCGUGUUGGACAAAAUUUUUACUUGGCCAUUGAUGUUGUCCUCAAUAAUUGAAACUAUUUCAAUUGUCAACAACAGAUUAUGGCAUAGUGUUUACUGGGUCCAGCUCAUUGUGACAAUCUGUGGUCUAAGUGGAUGGUGUCAUAUUGAAGCAUUCGUCUGUGAGAUGCUCAUUUUCAUCAAAAUUAAUAGCUUCUUUCAAUUGUUAGUAAAUUUGUUCUGUUCAGUCAAAUUAGGAAGGUAAUAAUUUAGGUGACUCUUAAAUGAUAGGAUUUGUGUGUGCCUCAAUUAUGCUUGUGGGCAGAAAAGUUUGUAAAUAACUGGUUAUGAUUUUAUCAAGCUAUAGCUACUUUGUCAUGAGUAGAAUGGCUGAGUACAUGGCUGAGGCUGCUGCAAUUCUGUUUCUGUGAGAUUUCUACCAGUCUAUUACUAAUCAUCCACUUCAUGGAUUGCGGUCAAUCAAUAUAGAUGGAUCCGACAUAUGAUUCGAAUCCAAUAUAGCACCUAUGGGUACAUAAGAAUUGCUGAGAAGAGAAUUUGUUUGUACAUAAUGAAUGUUACUUACCAAAGUAGCUAUCUUGAUGGAACUAUGGAUAUGUGUGGGUGGUGCUUUUGAUAUGCUAGUGCCUGUAGCAGUUAUGCACACUGUGGUAUAAUCAUUCUAACAUGGUAUAAAUAUUAAGCAGAAUGGAAAACUGCUAAGAAGCUUGACGUCACAUAUGGCAACAAUGGUGUCUCAACUGAGAGGAGGAUGCCCAAGUGAAUAGAGUAUGGCAUCUUUCAACUUAAAAGUUGGUACGACUUCAUGAUCUUUAUUACCAAUAGCAGAUGUCUUAUGGCUCGCACCUUUCAUAAUGCUUCGUUUGCAAUUAAGUAGUUAUCUUAGUGUGGUGUUCUUAGAUUCUUCUUUUUCAAACAUAGAAUCUUGUUUCAUAGUCCAACAGCUUUAGUAUGGGUUUAUAGAAGAUUUUUUGAAAGCGUAUGUUUGGUGUCAUUUGUAACUUGUUGCUUGGUUUGGCUCCUUAGGUUCAAUCUCAUUAUUUUUCAUCUUUCUAUUUUCCAACUAGAAAGUAAUCAUUUAUUUGUUUUAUAGAAUGCUUCUGGUAACUCUUUGGCAUUUGAAGAUCGCACUAAGUUCCAAGAGUUCCUCAAACACUUGGACUAGUACCCAGAGGUGCUGGUUUAACUGACAAUGUUCAAGAUUCAUUUGUAGAGUUCUCAAAUUCUUCAAAGCAAUGUUUGCAUAUCCUUUGCAAUGGAGAUAAAGAUGGGGUUUUGUGCUUCAAUAUAUUUGGUGUCUUUCCAAUUGGAAAUAUCACAAGCAUCAUGUCUGUUCAAAUCAAAUAUUUAGCUAUGUGGUCUAUCAGAUUUAGUCAAUGAGUCCUUUCCUUGUUCUCGCUUCUCAUACAGCAAUUUUUUCUGAAUAAAGGGAUUUGAUGGUAGAGUGACAGCAAA